UACGGAGGGUGCAAGCGUUAUCCGGAUUCACUGGGCUUAAAGGGUGCGUAGGUGGGUUGGUAAGUCAGUGGUGAAAUCUCCGAGCUUAACUUGGAAACUGCCAUUGAUACUAUCAGUCUUGAAUAUUGUGGAGGUCAGCGGAAUAUGUCAUGUAGCGGUGAAAUGCUUAGAUAUGACAUAGAACACCAAUUGCGAAGGCAGCUGGCUACACAUAUAUUGACACUGAGGCACGAAAGCGUGGGGAGCAAACAGG
rnacentral:rRNA from 1 species